GACGAACGCUGGCGGCGUGCUUAACACAUGCAAGUCGAACGGAAAGGCCCCUUCGGGGGUACUCGAGUGGCGAACGGGUGAGUAACACGUGAGUAACCUGCCCUUGACUUCGGGAUAACUUCAGGAAACUGGGGCUAAUACCGGAUAGGAAUCCUUGCUGCAUGGUGGGGGUUGGAAAGCUUCGGCGGUUUUGGAUGGACUCGCGGCUUAUCAGCUUGUUGGUGGGGUAGUGGCUUACCAAGGCUUUGACGGGUAGCCGGCCUGAGAGGGCGACCGGCCACAUUGGGACUGAGAUACGGCCCAGACUCCUACGGGAGGCAGCAGUGGGGAAUAUUGCACAAUGGGCGGAAGCCUGAUGCAGCAACGCCGCGGGCGGGAUGACGGGCUUCGGGUUGUAAACCGCUUUCAGCAGGGGCGAAGCUUGUGGUGACGGUACCUGCAGAAGAAGCACCGGCUAACUACGUG
rnacentral:rRNA from 1 species